CGAGACGCUGGCGGCGUGGAUUAGGCAUGCAAGUCGAACGGUAUCAUCCUUUCGGGGGUGAGAGAGUGGCGAACUGGUGAGUAACACGUAGGUUAUCUACCCUCAAGACGGGGACAACCCAGGGAAACUUGGGCUAAUACCGGAUGUGAGCAACUUUUAGUUGUUUGAAAGGUGGCGUAAGCUGUCGCUUGGGGAUGAGCCUGCGUCCUAUUAGUUAGUUGGUGAGGUAACGGCUCACCUAGGCAAUGAUAGGUAGGCGGCCUUAACGGGUGGUCGCCCACACUGGGAUUGAGAUACGGCCCAGACUCCUACGGGAGGCAGCAGUCGAGAAUAGUCUACAAUGGUCGGAAGACUGAUAGUGCGACGCCGCGUGAACGAUGAAUCCCUUCGGGGUGUAAAGUUCUUUUAUAUGUGAGCAGUGCUUCUUAUAUUAACAGUAUGGGGAGAGAGAUAUUAGCAUAUGAAUAAGCAACGGCUAACUCCGUG
rnacentral:rRNA from 1 species